AGGCCACUGCUAUCAGAGUUCGAUUAAGCCAUGCGAGUCGAGAGGUGUAAGACCUCGGCAUACUGCUCAGUAACACGUGGACAACCUACCCUAAGGAGGGGGAUAACCCCGGGAAACUGGGGAUAAUACCCCAUAGACUAUGGAUGCUGGAAUGCUUCGUAGUUCAAAGGUCCGCCGCCUUAGGAUGGGUCUGCGGCCGAUUAGGUUGUUGUUGGGGUAACGGCCCAACAAGCCUGUAAUCGGUACGGGUUGUGGGAGCAAGAGCCCGGAGAUGGAUUCUGAGACACGAAUCCAGGCCCUACGGGGCGCAGCAGGCGCGAAAACUUUACAAUGCGAGAAAUCGUGAUAAGGGAACUCUGAGUGCCCGUAAAAUCGGGCUGUCCAUCUGUUUAAAUAACAGGUGAAGAAAGGGCCGGGCAAGACCGGUGCCAGCCGCCGCGGUAAUACCGGCGGCUCGAGUGGUGGCCACUAUUACUGGGCUUAAAGCGUCCGUAGCUGGUCUGUUAAGUCUCUGGGGAAAUCUUCCGGCUCAACCGGAAGGCGUCUCAGGGAUACUGGCAGACUAGGGACCGGGAGAGGUGAGAGGUACUCCAGGGGUAGGAGUGAAAUCCUGUAAUCCUUGGGGGACCACCUGUGGCGAAGGCGUCUCACCAGGACGGCUCCGACAGUGAGGGACGAAAGCUGGGGGAGCAAACCGGAUUAGAUACCCGGGUAGUCCCAGCCGUAAACGAUGC
rnacentral:rRNA from 1 species